rnacentral:SRP_RNA from 1 species
ACCGAUGCAACUGUCCGUCCGAGUUCGCGAGUGGCGACGUGGCUCCCUCGUGGAAAUGAGAGGGUCGCUCGCUUUGAAUGGAUCGUAACGCGCCAGGCCGGAAACGGAACAGCGAAAAGAAUCCAGCUUGUGAAGGUCGGCGGAUCGCAGUGCU